rnacentral:lncRNA from 1 species
UUCCCAUCCAUUCCUGCCUCUGUGCCUUGCUCUAACCCAGCUGGCCACAGCCCCACCUGGCCCAGGUGCCGCCGGCCCUGCUUGGUCCCCAUACAAAGGCCUGUGGGAGAGGCUGGGAAAUUGCCAUCCACCUGGGGACAGUGGGAAACAGUCAUCGUCAGCCUGUCCAUAUCCAGGACACCGUGCUGCAUCCUGGCUCACAAUCAGGAACCAGAAGGCAGCACGGCCCCCACAGGGCUGGCACGGGCAGCCUCACUGUGGCCUGUGCCCUGGGCAGUACCAGGCAGCUCCAUCCUGUGGUACCCAGGCUGAGUCCAUCUCUUACGCCCACGCCCAACCUCUCAGCAAACCCAGGCAGCUCCAGGUGCACAAAAUCUGCACAGCACCUGCCCUUUCUCGCCCGACCAUGGCCACCACCCUGGCCCCAUCCACCCCUGUCUCCAUCUGGACCAUCACUCCCAUCCACAGACUCCCUGCUCCUUCCCACCCCACCCUCGCAAUCUGUUCCACAGCCACAGGGAGACUGUGAACACCUGUGUCACUCCUCCGCCCAGAACCCUCCCGGGGUGCCAUCCUGCCCUGAGUAAAGGGCAAAGUCCUCCCCUACGGCCCACCAGGCCUCACAUGAUCUGCCCCGCCCCACUCUGACUCUGUGGCCUCCCACAGCCUCCUUGCUCACCCAGCCUGGCCACUGCUUAUUAUUCUGUUCCCACCACGGGGACUUUGCUUGGCUGCCCCUCCCCAUAGGUCACUCCCUACCCUCCUUCCAAUGUUUGCUCAAAUCUUGCCUUCCCAGCCAGGCUUCCCCUGACCACUGCCUUUAAUACUUUAACCACCCUGCCUUUUUUUGAACUCCUAAUUUUUUAUUUUUAUUUUUAUUUUUUGAGAUAGGAUCUAGCUCUGUUGCCCAGGCUGGAGUGCAGUGGCGUGAUCAUAGCUCACUGCAACUUUGAACUGCUAGGCUCAAGGGAUUCCUCCUGAUUCAACCUCCCAAGUAGCUGGGACUAUAGGUGCACACCCAGCACUUAUAAUUGUAAUUUUUAAUAGAGAUGGGGUUUCACUAUGUUGCCCAGUCUGGUCUCAAACUCCUGGCCUCAAGUGAUCAUCCCACCGCAGUCUCCCAAAGUGCUGGGAUUGCAGGUGUGAGCCACCACACCUGGCCACCACACUGCCCUUUUUACCCCCUUUGCCUACUCUGAUUUUCUUGGAAACCUUCCAUAGACUUCACAGCUUCCUCUCACCAUCCCACUCAUCCAGCCACUGGCCAUGGCCACCUUCCCUGUUACUGUACGCAGGCUCCAGGAGGGCUGGUCAGCUCAGCCUCUCUGCUGGAGUCCUUUAUUAGUUUCCCAUUGCUGCUGUAACGAAUUACCACAAACUUGGUGCCUUCAAACACAUUUAUUCUCUUGCUGCUCUGGAGGCCAGAGUCUAAAAUCAGUUUCACUGGGCUGGAGUCAAAGGAGCGGAAGGACUGCCUGCCUUCUGGAGGCUCGGGGGAGCCAUUCAUUGCCUCUCCUGGCUUCUGGAGGCUGCCAGCAUUCCUUGGCUUGUGGCUGCAUCACUCCAAUCUCUGCCUCUGGAGUGAUUUUGCCUUCUCCUCUUCUGUGUGCAACCUCCCUCUGCCUCUAAUUUAUAAGGACACUUGUGACAGCAUAUAUGGCUUACCAGGUAGUCCAGGAUAAUCUCAUCUCAAAACCAUUAACUUGGCCAGGCGCGGUGGCUCAUGCCUGUAAUCCCAGCACUUUGGUGGGCCGAGACAGAUGGAUCACCUGAGGUUAGGAGUUCGAGACCAGCCUGGCCAACAUGACGAAUCCCUGUUUCUACUAAAAAUACCAAAAUUAGCCAGGUGUGGUGGUGCGUGCCUGUAAUCCCAGCUACUUGGGAGGCUGAGGCAGGAGAAUUGCUGGAACCUGGGAGGUGGAGGUUGCUGUGAGCUGAGAUUGUGCCAUUGCACUCCAUCCUGGGCGACAGAGCGAGACUCCAUCUCCAAAAAAAAAAAAAAAAAUCAUUAAUUUACAUCUGCAAAGACGCUUCUUUUGUAUAACAUAACAUUUAUAGGUUCCAGGGAUUGGGUUGCUGUCUUAGUCUAUUCAGGCUGCUAGAACAAAAUACCAUAAACUGGGAGGUUUAAAAAAUUUAUUUCUCACAGUAGUAAAGCCUGGGACAUUCAAGAUCAAGGUGCUGGCAGAUUCGCUGUCUGAUAAGGGCCCUGCUUCCUCAUAGAGGAGGUCUUCUCCCUGUGUUCUUACAGAGUGGAAGAGGCAAGGGCUCUCUCUAUGGCCUGUUUUAUAAGGGCACUAAUCCUAUUCAUGUGUACUUUGCCCUCUUGACCCAAUCACCUCCCGCAGGUCCCACCUCCUAAUACCAUCACCUUGGGGGUUGGGAUUUCCAUAUAUGAAUUUUGGGGGUUUUUUCUAGAGACAGGGUCUCUCUCUGUUGCCCAGGCUGGAGUCACAGAUCACUGCAACCUCAACCUCCCAGGCUCAAGUAAUCUUCCCACCACAGCCUCCCAAGUGUCUGGGACUUCAGGUGCAUCCCACCAUGCCUGGCUAAUUUUUUUGUAGAGAUAGGGAUCUUACUAUGUUAGCCAGGCUGACCUUGAAUUCCUGGGCUCAGGCGAUCCUCCUGCCUUGCCCUCCCAAGGUGCUGGGAUUACAGGCGUGAGCCACUGCUCUUGGCCUCAGUAUGUGAAUUUCAGAGGGGAUACAAACAUUGAGACCAUCGCAUACCUGAAUAUAUUUGGGGGUCGUUAUUCAGCCUACUGAUAAUCAGGUCCUGACUGAUGGUGGUUCUAGGAGAACAGAGCCUCAGGGAAGCUCAUCUGCAGCUGGUUCUCUAAUCUACAGGGCUUAAGAGCAUCAUCAACCCUGUUGCCAUGGUUAAGGGGGCACUGGUAGUUCACAACAUGCAGAGACAAAAUGGUGACUUAUACUGUGACCUGUCGUCACCUGUCAUUUACAGGGUCAGGUCCAUUCUGCACUGGUCUCCCUGUUGAGCAAGGACGGUGGCCAUUGUCAGUCCAGGCUCCCCACUUCCUUGUUCUUUUUUUUUUUGAUAGAGUCUCUCUCUGUCACCCAGGCUGGAGUGCAGUGGCACGAUCUCUGCUCACUGUAACCUCCGCCUCCUGGGUUCAAGUGAUUCUCCUACCUCAGCCUCCUGAGUAGUUGGGAUUACAGGCGCCCGCCACCACGCCCAGCUAAUUUUUGUAUUUUUAGUAGAGAUGGGGUUUCACCAUGCUUUCCAGGCUGGUCUGGAACUCCUGACCUCAGGUGAUCCGCCCACCUCGGCCUCCCAAAGUGCUGGGAUAAUAGGCGUGAGCCACUGUGCCUGGCUGCUUGUUCUUAUCCCUUUUUUUUUUUUUUUUUUGAGACAAGGUCUCGCUCUGUCACUCAGAGUGGAGUACAGUGGCGCGAUCAUGGCUCACUGCAGCUUCGACCGCCUGGGCCCAAGCAAUCCUUCUCCCUCAGCCUCCUGAGUAGCUGGGACCACAGGUGCACGCCACCACCCCCGGGUAGGUUUUUCCAAUUUUUUUUUUUUUUUUAAGAUGGAGUCUAACUCUGUUGCCCAGGCUGGAGUGCAGUGGCACAAUCUUGGCUCACUGCAACCUCUGCCCCCACCAGGUUCAAGUGAUUCUCCUGCCUUAGCCUCCCGAGUAGCUGGGAUUACAUGCACAUGCCACCACGUCCAGCUAAUUUUUUGUAUUUUUAGUAGAGACAAGGUUUCACCACAUUGGCCAGGUUGGUCUUGAACUCCUGACCUCAGGUGAUCUUCCCGCCUCGGCUUCCCAAAGUGCUGAGAUUACAGGCGUGAGCCACCGCACCCGGCCGACUUUUACAAAAUUAUUAUUAUUAUUUUGUAGAGAUGGGGUCUUUCUAUUUUGCCCAGGCUGGUCUUGAACUCCUGGCCUCAAGCCAUCCUCCCACCUCAGCCUCCCAGAGUGCUGGGAUUACAGGCAUGAGCCACCACACCCAGCCAACAAGGGGAGCCUUAAGUACAGAGCAAAGUCUCCUGGUAGCUCACCAGCCAGGUGGUGGACUGGUAUUGGGGAGUCCACCCCAGUGGGGACUCACUGAAGCAGACCAGUAUGUGGGAAAACCAUGGACAUGACCCCCAGAUCUAAGAGCAGUGGACACUGGGGAAGACCCUCUACUCCCACUCAACCCUUUCUCCGGUAAGGACCCAAGAGGGCAGAGGCCUAACCCAGCCCCCGGCGUUCAUCCUGAUUCAUCCAAUGAGUCUAAUCUUCUGUGGUGUGACUUGUUCAGGAAUGGGCAUCCAACCUAGUUCUGGCCAAUGGGGUGCAAGGGGAGGAGGAUGUUCUGAAAAAGUGUAGAAAAAAGAGGAUCACAGAUCUAAGGUUUGUAGUAAGAGUCUGUGGUUUCCAGAAUGACAUGGAAGAAGGAAUGAGGGAGGACACCUACAAGUUAGAUGAUGGCUACACCCCAAGACUUCAGAGGUGUGGACUGAAAGCCACAAAAGAAGGAAGUAAAUGGUCAGAUAAUGCAUUUCCUUUAGGAAUGUAAGUCAUGAGGCCAGCUGACCACGGUGAAAUCUUACAUUGGGAAAUAGUGUGGGCUGUUGACUUGACAAUGGAGCCAUAGGUUAGCCGCCAUUUUGCAGAGCUAUCUGUGAAGGUGCUGAUGACACUCUUGAAAGGAUCCCAGUACUGGUCGAAGGUGAAGACACAGGAAUCCAUCAUGUGGUGAGAUUCUAACUUCAUCCCUAACUGGCGGUCUACAUUACGUGUAGAUCUGUUUACUAAGGCAGUUGAUCUCUUCUUUGGCGUGUCUUUGAAAGGGGUUUUCUCAUUCCUUAUGUUACCAAAUAAAGGAGGUGUUUUUAUUGCACUCUCCAGGAAGGACAAGUGGAGGAAGAACAGCUGCAGUUUGUCUCUGUCCCUCAUGCCUUCCCUGGGGGUGACGGUGGGGGAGGACCCAUGGUUUAGUGGAACUUAUUCUUGUGCCUAUAAACCAGCUAGAGAGGAGCCGCCAUUAUUUAUGUAUUUAUUUAGAGAUGGAGUCUUGCUCUGUCACCCAGGCUGGAGUGCAGUGGCGAGAUCUUGGCUCACUGCAACCUCUGCCUUCUGGGCUUAAGCGAUUCUCCUUCUUCAGCCUCCCUCCCAAGUAGCUGGGAUUACAGGCGUGCGCCAACAUGACUUGCUAAUUUUUUUUUUUUUUGUAUUUUUAUUUUUAUUUUUUUUUGUUUUUUAUUAUUAUUUUUUUUUAAUUUAUUUUUUUAUUGAUAAUUCUUGGGUGUUUCUCACAGAGGGGGAUUUGGCAGGGUCAUGGGACAAUAGUGGAGGGAAGGUCAGCAGAUAAACAAGUGAACAAAGGUCUCUGGUUUUCCUAGGCAGAGGACCCUGCGGCCUUCCGCAGUGUUUGUGUCCCUGAUUACUUGAGAUUAGGGAUUGGUGAUGACUCUUAACGAGCAUGCUGCCUUCAAGCAUCUGUUUAACAAAGCACAUCUUGCACCGCCCUUAAUCCAUUUAACCCUGAGUGGACACAGCACAUGUUUUUGUAUUUUUAGUAGAGACGUGGUUUCACCAUGUUGGCCAGGCUGGUCUUGAACUCCUGGCCUCAGGUGAUCGGCCCAUCGUGGCCUCCCAAAGUGUUGGGAUUACAGGCAUGAGCCACUGCACCUGGCCAAGGAGCCUCCAUUUUAGAUGGUAAGUUCAAUUUGGGGGUGUUGGGAAGCCCGCUGCGGCCACCCAGCUAAGCCUUUACCAACAGGCUGAUAUAUAUUUUUUUAAUUUUUAAUUUUUGUAGGUGUACUUAUUUAUGGGGUAAAUGAAAUGUUUUGAUACAAGCAUGGAAUGUAUAAUAAUCACAUCCUGGAGAAUGGGGCAUCCAUCCCCUCAAGCAUUUAUCCUUUGUGUUACAAACAAUCCAAUUAUACUCUUUCAGUUAUCUUUAAAUAGGCGAGUUAUUAUUGACUAUAGGCGCCCUGUUGUGUGAUCAAAUAGUAGGUCUUAUUCAUUAUUUCUAUUUUUUUAUACCCACUAACCAUCCUCUCCUCCCCCCAACCUCCACUAUCCUUCCCAGCCUCUCUAUGUCCAUGAGUUCAAUUGUUUUGAUUUUUAACUCCCACAAAUAAGUGAGAACAUGUGAUGUUUGUCUUUCUGAACCUGGUUUAUUUCACUUAACAUAAUGGUCUCCAGUUCCAUUCAUGUUGUUACAAAUGACUAGAUCUCAUUCUUUUUUAUGGCUAAAUAGUACUCCACUGUGCAUAUGUACAUUUUCCUUAUCCAUUCAUCUGCUGAUGGACACUUAGGUUGCUUCCAAAUUUUGGCUACUGUGAGCAGUGCUGCAAUACACAUGUCAGUGUAGAUAUUUCCUUAACAGAUACACUGAUUUCCAUUCUAUGGGGUAUAUACCCAGCAGUGGGAUUGCUGGAUCAUAUGGUAGCUCAAAUUUUUAGGUGUUUUGUUUUUUUUUUUUUUUUUGAGACAGAGUCUAGCUCUGUCCCUCAGGCUCAAGUGCAGUGGUGUGAUCUUGCUCACUGCAACCUCUGCCUCCCAGGUUCAACUGAUUCUUCUGCCUCAGCCUCCUGAGUAGCUGGGAUGACAGGCAUGCACCAUGACGCCUGGCUAAUUUUUGUAUUUUUAGUAGAGACGGGGUUUCACCACAUUGGCCAGGCUGGUCUUGAACUCCUGACCUCAAGGGAUCCACCUGCUUUGGCCUCCCAAAGUGUUGGGAUUACAGGUGUGCGCCACUGCGCCCAGCCUCAAUUUUUAGUUUUUUGAGGAACCUCCAAACUGUUCUCCACGGUGGUUGUACUAAUUUACAUUCCCACCAACAAUGUACGAGGGUUCCCUUUUCUUCACAUCAUUGCCAGCAUUUGUUAUUGCCUGUCUUUUGGAUAUAAGGCACUUUAAUUGGGGUGAGAUGAUAUAUCUCACUGUAGUUUUGAUUUGCAUCUCUCUAAUGAUCAGCGAUGUUGAGCCCCUUUUCAUAUGCCAAUAGGCGGAUAUUUCUAGCUGUCUGUGUGAUUCCUGGGUCUACUUCUCCAAAAUCAGACUGGAAGCAGAGAGGCAGUGUGGAGAGCAGAUAAGAGUCAGGGCUCUGCUGCCAGACUGCCCGAGUUCAAAUCCUGGCUCCACCUCUGGCUCACUGGGGGGACUUUGAGCAUGCCACUCAGUCUUUCUGACCUCAGUUUCCCCCUGUAUAAAAUGGGGAUGAUAAUGCUACCUAUCUCAUAGGGUUGUGGAGAGGACCAAAUGAGCUAGUAUGGGGUAUUUCAUGGAUCCACGGAAUUGGGAUGGGUGUUAAAAUAGAUGAUCUGUUGUGGUUUAAUCAACAGUGGUCUUUUUUGCUUCCUUUUUUUUUUUUUUUUUUGAGAUGGAGUCUCACUCUUGUUGCCCAGGCUGCAGUACAGUGGCGCAAUCUUGGCUCACUGCAGCCUCUGCCUCCUGGGUUCAAGCAAUUUUCCUGCCUCAGCCUCCUGAGUAGCUGGGAUUACAGGCAUGUGCCACCACGCCCGGCUAAUUUUGUAUUUUUAGUAAAGAUGGGGUUUCUCCAUGUUGGUCAGGCUGGUCUCGAACUCCUGACCUCAGGUGAUCCACCUGCCUCGGCCUCCCAAAGUGUUGGGAUUGCAGGUGUGAGCCACUGCACCUGGCUGCUUUAUUUUUUUCUUUCUAAGAUGGCUCUUAUGCACAGAGCACCUUAGAGUUGGUGUAAUAGGGCACAUGGGAAGGCUAAGAGCAGUGCUUGUAGCACAGAAAGUAGCAUGUGACUGUUGAUCAGUAUCAUUACUGUUAAUUCCCCUCAAACACCCCACAGCUCCCUCCGCUCUCUUGAGGGAGUCCCGCAGAAAGACAGCUUCUCUCUCUCUCUCAUUCUGUCUUUCUCUCUCCCUUGCCUCUGCUGAACUCAAACAAGAAAGCGUGUUGCAGUGGUGUUGGCAGCCUUUCACUUACAACCUUAUCUUCAGGAUGAAGAUAAAACUAGAUAGAGAUUGCAGAGCAGAGAAACGGGAACCCAGGAUGCCAAUGACAUCAGUGAGCAUCUGGACAGACUACACAUCUUCUGUGGGUUUCCUGUUACUUGCAGCCCAAAGCAUUCAUAUGUGGAGUGUGUGUGUGUGUGUGUGUGUGUGUGUGUGUGUGUGUGUGUGAAAUGUUCUCCUGAAAGCACUGGGGGGUUUCUGAGACUUCUGAACAUGGGCUAUCUUUACUAGUGUUUUUUCAGGCCUGUCUCCCACUCCUGAGCCCCCUAAGCCAGUAUUCUCUCCAACAAGGCCUCUUUCCCUACCCCAUGCUACAGAUCUCUGGGAAGCUGAGCCCAGUGGUCUGAUUGACAGGUGACUCCAAGAUGUUGCUUGUUCAAAGAUGCUGAGAUCUCUCUGGAAAUUGUCACUAAUUUCCACUUAGGACAGCAUUUCCCAAAGAGUGGAAUAUGCUAGUGAGAUUUGACACAUUUAGGUGGUACACAAAACAUUUGUUAUGUGAAUAGCUCUGUGUUUUCUUUUUUUCUUUUUUAGAGAUAGGGUCUCACACUGUCACCCAAGCUUGAGUGCAGUGGUGCAAUCUUGGCUCACUGUAGCCUCGGCCUCCUGGGCUCAAGUGAUCCUCCCACCUCAGCCUCCCAAGUAGCUUGGACUACAGGCACACGCCACAGUGCCCAGCUAAUUAAAAAACAUUUUUUUUUUUUGUAGUGAUGGGGUCUUGCUAUGUUACCCAGGCUGGUCUUGAACUCCUGGCUUCCAUCAAUCCUCCUGCCUUGGCCUUCCAACAUGCUGGAAUUACAGGCAUGAGCCACUACACCCAGCCCAGCUCUGGGUGUACAGGCGCCUGGGUGUUUUUUUUUUUUUUUUUUUUUUUUGAGACAGAGUUUCACUCUUGUUGCCCAGGCUGGAGAGCAAUAGCUCGAUCUCAGCUCACUGCAACCUCUGCCUCUGGGUUCAAGAGAUUCUCCUGCCUCAGCCUCCUGAAUAGCUGGGAUUACAGGCGCCCGCCACCAUGCCGGCUAAUUUUUUGUAUUUUUAGUAGAGAUGGGCUUUCACCAUGUUGGCCAGGCUGGUCUCGAACUCCAGACCUCAGGUGAUCCACUCGCCUCAACCUCCCAAAGUGCUGGGAUUACAGUCGUGAGCCACCACGCCCAGCCCUGUAUUUUCUUUGAAAAAGUAUUAAAUGAUUUUGGUUUUCUCUUUAUAGUAGUGAUACAAUGUUGCCUUCAAAAUGAAUUAAGCCUAAACAUUAUUUAAAGAAAUUAAGUAAAUAAGAGUUUAAGUAGUCCUUGAAUAGGACAAAAAAAUCUCAAGUGGUAUGUGAGCCACUGAAGUUUGGGUAGCUUGGUUUUAGAGAAACCCUGCACUAUUUUUUUUCCCCCUGGCGACGGUCCCCAGUUUGUCUGGCCUGGGGGUGAGACUCGCUCUUCUUUCUUGGGUUUGCUUUUCAAAUGCACAGAGCAGGGCACUCAGCCGACAACAUGAGGGCUGACGGUUGUCACCAAGCAGCGAUGUCUCUCCACUGGGAGCCUUUAAAAAGGCUACACUUGGCCCGGCGUGGUGGCUCACGCCUGUAAUCCCAGCACUUUGGGAGGCUGAAGGGGGCAGAUCACCUGAGGUCAGGAGUUCGAGACCAGCCUGACCAACAUGGAGAAACCCCGUCACUAAAAAUACAAAAUUAGCCGGGC